AAAGUUUUAAUCCCUGGCUCCAAGAAUUAAACCGCUUGGCGGUAUUGCUUUAACACAUGCAAGUCGAACGGGAUGCUUAGGCAUCUAGUGGCGGACGGGUGAGUAACGCGUGAGAAUCUGGCUCCAGGUCGGGGAUAACAGUUGGAAACGACUGCUAAUACCGGAUGUGCCGAGAGGUGAAAGAUUUAUUGCCUGGAGAUGAGCUCGCGUCUGAUUAGCUAGUUGGUGGUGUAAGGGACCACCAAGGCGUCGAUCAGUAGCUGGUCUGAGAGGAUGAUCAGCCACACUGGGACUGAGACACGGCCCAGACUCCUACGGGAGGCAGCAGUGGGGAAUUUUCCGCAAUGGGCGAAAGCCUGACGGAGCAAUACCGCGUGAGGGAGGAAGGCUCUUGGGUCGUAAACCUCUUUUCUCAAGGAAGAAGAAAGUGACGGUACUUGAGGAAUAAGCAUCGGCUAACUCCGUGCCAGCAGCCGCGGUAAUACGGAGGAUGCAAGCGUUAUCCGGAAUGAUUGGGCGUAAAGGGUCUGCAGGUGGAACUGAAAGUCUGCUGUUAAAGAGUUUGGCUUAACCAAAUAAAAGCGGUGGAAACUACAGAACUAGAGUGCGGUAGGGGCAAAAGGAAUUCCUGGUGUAGCGGUGAAAUGCGUAGAUAUCAGGAAGAACACCGGUGGCGAAAGCGUUUUGCUAGACCUAACUUGACACUGAGGGACGAAAGCUAGGGGAGCGAAUGGGAUUAGAUACCCCAGUAGUCCUAGCCGUAAACGAUGGAUACUAGGCGUGGCUUGUAUCGACCCGAGCCGUGCCGGAGCUAACGCGUUAAGUAUCCCGCCUGGGGAGUACGCACGCAAGUGUGAAACUCAAAGGAAUUGACGGGGGCCCGCACAAGCGGUGGAGUAUGUGGUUUAAUUCGAUGCAACGCGAAGAACCUUACCAAGACUUGACAUCCUGCGAAUCCUGGUGAAAGCUGGGAGUGCCUUAGGGAGCGCAGAGACAGGUGGUGCAUGGCUGUCGUCAGCUCGUGUCGUGAGAUGUUGGGUUAAGUCCCGCAACGAGCGCAACCCUCGUUUUUAGUUGCCAGCAUUAAGUUGGGCACUCUAGAGAGACUGCCGGUGACAAACCGGAGGAAGGUGAGGAUGACGUCAAGUCAGCAUGCCCCUUACGUCUUGGGCUACACACGUACUACAAUGCUACGGACAGAGGGCAGCGAGCCAGGGAUGGCAAGCGAAUCCAGAAACCGUAGCUCAGUUCAGAUCGAAGGCUGCAACUCGCCUUCGUGAAGGAGGAAUCGCUAGUAAUUGCAGGUCAGCAUACUGCAGUGAAUUCGUUCCCGGGCCUUG
rnacentral:rRNA from 1 species